rnacentral:sRNA from 1 species
GGUGAUCUAGAUGCAACAUCUGUCACCCUAUUGAUGCCAGCAUCUGACUGGCUAGGUAGAUGAUCCCUUCCUCC